rnacentral:rRNA from 1 species
UACGUAGGGUGCAAGCGUUGUCCGGAAUUAUUGGGCGUAAAGAGCUCGUAGGCGGUUUGUUGCGUCGGCUGUGAAAUCCCGAGGCUCAACCUCGGGUCUGCAGUCGAUACGAGCAGACUAGAGGGUUGCAGGGGAGACUGGAAUUCCUGGUGUAGCGGUGAAAUGCGCAGAUAUCAGGAGGAACACCGGUGGCGAAGGCGGGUCUCUGGGCAGCAACUGACGCUGAGGAGCGAAAGCGUGGGGAGCGAACAGG